rnacentral:rRNA from 1 species
CGUAGGGUGCGAGCGUUGUCCGGAAUUAUUGGGCGUAAAGGGCUCGUAGGCGGUUUGUCGCGUCGGGAGUGAAAACCUCGGGCUUAACUCGGGGCUUGCUUUCGAUACGGGCAGACUGGAGGUAUGCAGGGGAGAACGGAAUUCCUGGUGUAGCAGUGAAAUGCGCAGAUAUCAGGAGGAACACCGGUGGCGAAGGCGGUUCUCUGGGCAUGACCUGACGCUGAGGAGCGAAAGUGUGGGGAGCGAACAGGAUUAGAUACCCUGGUAGUCCACACCGUAAACGUUGGGCGCUAGGUGUGGGAUCCAUUCCACGGGUUCCGUGCCGCAGCUAACGCAUUAAGCGCCCCGCCUGGGGAGUACGGCCGCAAGGCUA